rnacentral:rRNA from 1 species
CCUACGGGAGGCAGCAGUGGGGAAUUUUGGACAAUGGGCGAAAGCCUGAUCCAGCCAUUCCGCGUGCAGGAUGAAGGCCCUCGGGUUGUAAACUGCUUUUGUGAACAGCCCGGUACCGUAAGAAUAAGCACCGGCUAACUACGUGCCAGCAGCCGCGGUAAUACGUAGGGUGCAAGCGUUAAUCGGAAUUACUGGGCGUAAAGCGUGCGCAGGCGGUUAUGUAAGACAGAUGUGAAAUCCCCGGGCUCAACCUGGGAACUGCAUUUGUGACUGCAUAGCUAGAGUACGGUAGAGGGGGAUGGAAUUCCGCGUGUAGCAGUGAAAUGCGUAGAUAUGCGGAGGAACACCGAUGGCGAAGGCAAUCCCCUGGCCGUACUGACGCUCAUGCACGAAAGCGGGGGAGCAAACAGGAUUAGAUACCUUGUAGUC